rnacentral:rRNA from 1 species
GAAUCCCUCACCGAAACCCCCGGUAGAACCGGGGGCUGAUUUGCCGUUUGGUGUUGAUAUGCCAAACGGUAUGACAGCCCCCGACUAUGUCGGGGGUUUGGGUGAGGGGUUCCGGACAGCGGCGAAAGGGAGAGUAACGCGUAGUUACGUACCCCGAGGACCGGAAUAGCUGCGGGAAACUGCAGGUAAUGCCGGAUAAUGUCUUCGGACCAAAGGUGUGAUUCCACCUCGGGAGCGGACUGCGUCGUACUAGCUAGUUGGUAGGGUAAUGGCCUACCAAGGCGAUGAUGCGUAGCGGGUGUGAGAGCAUGACCCGUCUCACUGGGACUGAGACACUGCCCAGACACCUACGGGUGGCUGCAGUCGAGAAUCUUCGGCAAUGCGCGCAAGCGUGACCGAGCGACGCCGCGUGCGGGAUGAAGGCCUUCGGGUUGUAAACCGCUUUCGGUUGGGAGGAAAUUGGUGGGGGUUCUCCCCCAUCAUUGACCUAUCUUCGGAAGAAGGACGGGCUAAGUUCGUGCCAGCAGCCGCGGUAAUACGAACCGUCCAAACGUUAUUCGGAAUUAUUGGGCUUAAAGGGUAUGUAGGCGGCGCUGUUAGUCGGGUGUGAAAUCCCUCGGCUCAACCGAGGAAUUGCGCCCGAAACUGCAGUGCUUGAGGGAGACAGAGGUAAGCGGAACUGAUGGUGGAGCGGUGAAAUGCGUUGAUAUCAUCAGGAACACCGGUGGCGAAAGCGGCUUACUGGGUCUCUUCUGACGCUGAAAUACGAAAGCUAGGGGAGCGAAGGGGAUUAGAUACCCCCGUAGUCCUAGCUGUAAACGAUGAGCACUUGGUUCGGGGACCCCCUCAUAGGUUCUCGGCCGUACCGAAAGUGUCAAGUGCUCCGC